rnacentral:rRNA from 1 species
CGCGUAGGCGGUCUGCUAAGUCGGGGGUGAAAUCUUUCGGCUCAACCGGAAAAGGGCUUUCGAUACUGGCAGACUUGAGGGAGGUAGGGGCACGUGGAACUGGUGGUGGAGCGGUGAAAUGCGUUGAUAUCACUAGGAACGCCGGUGGCGAAAGCGACGUGCUGGCCCUCUUCUGACGCUGAGGCGCGAAAGCUAGGGGAGCGAACGGGAUUAGAUACCCCGGUAGUCCUAGCCCUAAACGAUGGGUACUAGGUAGUGGACUAGACAUGGGUUCACUGCCGAAGCAAAAGUGUUAAGUACCCCGCCUGGGGAGUAUGGUCGCAAGGCUGAA